CAAUGUUUACAUUUACGAGCAUCUUCGUGAAAGUACGAUCGAGUACAUUAAUUAUAUUACGCCUGUAGAUCAUUUACGAGUACGUUCGCACAAUGGAUGAACUUCCUUUCAAUGGAUUCGCACGUGAUCCCGUUAAACGAAAUUUACGUACCAUAAGUCUAUAAAUAACCUCUGUUCUUAACAAAGAACAAUCGAAACCUCUGUUUUAAUUUAAGAAUAGAAGAAAAAAGAACAGUCUAUGUUACUCAUAGUUACAAUUUGAAGGAAUAUUCCUUAUACAUAUAGUAUAUACAUAUAUACCUGAUCUUCAAUCUGCGCUAUUAAUUAGAAUUAUUAAUUAAACUUCGAUAACAAAGACAAGAAGCAAAAUUUUAUUUGCAAUAACGCUUGAUAAAAAUUAAACGGGGAAACUACUGGCAGCUACUUACAUAUCGCAUUAAAGUGCAAGAGAAACGUGUGAAAUAAAAUUUUCUCGCAAUUUUCUGCUAUACAGAAAUUGAAACGAAAUAAAUAUAUAAACGGAAAACGUAUAAAAUUUGUUUUAAUCGUAAAACCUUCACUGAACUAAUAAAAAAUUGUUUUGCAUCAUUUUGAAACAAAAAUGAUUUCCUUUGUUUCGGAAGAAGCAAACGUGCCGACUUGUUUAUUUCAAGAGCACGAAUAUAUUUCUGAAACUACAUUUUCGAGUAAGGCAAUUACUUUUAGUAUUGAUUCUAAUUUGAUUAAUUUCCCCUUCGAAUAUAAUUCACUUUUCUGCAUUUUUAAUAUAUCAAAGUUUACACUUUUUGUAUUAAUUUUUGUUCUCUUUUUUAAGUGCAUAUAAUGGGGACAGUCAUUAAUGAGGUUAUGUUUGGUCAAAGCAGUUUUUGAAGAUACACUACCACGCAUGACUAAUCUUUUAGUUUUUAAUUUCGGAUCGUAUGUAUAAAAGAAUCCGUUAAUUAAAAGUAAAGCGGUAAUUGCAGUGGAUGAAAAACAAAAUAUUUAACGCUUAAUGAAACACUCAUCACGGAUGUAGUACAGUGGCUACAAAAAAUAUUGGUACCAUUGUAUUUAUUAAUUAAUAAAUAACAUUUACGUACUGGCGAAUUAGAUGCAAAUAUAUUAAACUUCAAGUCGUAUGAAUCGAUUUUCGUACGAUUGUAGAAAUGUGAUAUUGUGAGAACGAAACGUAGAACUUGAUAGAAGAAGGCUUUGUUAUCGAUACUUCCUGUAGCCAUUGUAGCUUUUCAAAUUUCGUUCAUAUAUUCGUUCAUAUAAUUACAUAAAGAACACCACAUCGAACGAAAGAUUUACGGGAAUGUUACAUACCCAGAAUUCCUUGUGGUCCAGAAGCCGUGCAUCACAAAAUUCUUUUCGAAUCAUCCAAGCACACGCGUAGAACUCACUAAUAAAACUUUUACCUAUCUUUCAGAUAUCGAAGAGGAAACGCCUUAUCGAGAGCUUCGGAGGAUCUUACGUUACGUUAACUAGGCCCGCAAUUAUGCAUAUUGGACGAUAGAGCGUGACUAUAAAGUCAGAUUUACACAUCACGAACGAACACGAACUAACGUGAACGACAAAACACAACAAAUUUGUUAAAAAAUACUUAACAUUGACAAAUACGUAACAUUGACAAAUUCGUAACACGAUGUCGUUAAACUUCCUCGCACUAACUAAACUUGCUUUAAUAUCGAUUAUCGAUAUUCCUUCUUCUCUGAUCUGAAGCGUAGCGCGAUGCGCAAAAGACGCCCUAAAAGAUUAUCUUGCGCAUCACGCAGUAGUUCACUUAGAAGCUUCUCUCGCAUUCGUUUUAUUCAAUGCGUACACAUAUAAUAAUGUAAUAAUAAUUUUUGCAUAUCAAAGAUUAUUCAUUCGUGUCGGUGUAGUGUGAAUAAAAUACUUGAAUCUUCAGUUAAUACAGUUUUUCGUUGCUGGUGAUAGUGAGAAAUCAAAGUGCGAGAUCAAAUGUUAGUGAAUAGAGAAGGAUCGAAGAUGAGUUACGUUCGUGCAGAGCCGGCUUUAGAAGCUACGAAUAUAAGAGCUACAAAGUUGCCAAUUCUCACGCGUUCAAUGUUCCUCCUUCGGCCAUAUUGAAGAACACUUCCGUUGCUCGAAGGAUGCAAACCUGAUUUUCUCUCGCACGUUUCACAAAAGAAGCUGGACAUGAAAGAAUGUCGAGUGGGGCUGGACAAAGGAGCUCCUCAGAUAAAAACAUAGGAGUGCAAAGUAUUAAUCCAUCGAAUAUUUUGUAUCUUCAGUCACUUCAGCAUACGUUUCGUUUGCAUUAAAACAAAAGAUGUAGCGUGUCUAUCAUUUUCCUAUAAAACGAAAGAAACAUUUGAAACAACCUGAUUCAAACUGUCUGAUUUCCCCUGAUCCCAUGAAAU